GACGAAGGUGGCGAGCGUUGUUCGGAAUCACUGGGCAUAAAGCGCACGUAGGCGGUGUCGUAAGUCGGGUGUGAAAUCCCUCGGCCUAACCGAGGAACUGCGCCCGAUACUGCGAUGCUUGAGGACCAGAGGGGUGCAUGGAAUUUCCGGUGGAGCGGUGAAAUGUGUUGAUAUCGGAAGGAACUCCGGCGGCGAAAGCGAUGCACUGGCUGGUUUCUGACGCUGAGGUGCGAAAGCCAGGGGAGCAAACGGG
rnacentral:rRNA from 1 species